GUGAGUCGUACUCGCUAAAACGCAUACUGAGUGUUACGAGUACGAGUACGCCGAGAGACGCGCUCCAAAGACUAGCUCCACGAGUAUUUAGAAGUACGAGCCAUUAGGACCUAUAGAAUAGAUACGUACUCCUAAAUACUCAGUGGCCAGCGAUUUUACGUCAUAUUAUCUGAUACUAAGCGUACAUUAAUUUCAAACAAGUUUUACGUAGUCAUUUGGACUAUAAUAGUGGUAUGUACGCAAGGUACAAAAAAAUUGAAUCCUGAGUUCGAUCCCGGGUAACAGAAAUCAUUUUUGUCUUUUUAUUUUGUUUUUUUCAAUUGGUUUCUUCAACUAUUUUUGGUUUUUGUAAUCCACAAAAAAAAAGAAAAAAAUUUGCAAACAAAAAUAUUUCAGUCAUUAAUUUCAAAAUUUCAAUUUUAUUUUAUUAUUUAGUUAUUUCUUUUAAUAUUACCUCAUGAUACUGUCGGGUUACAUUAACUUGUUACUUUAGCAGAUAAAUAAUCAUACUAAAACAAAUAAACAUUAUGUUUUUAAAAUAAGGAUUAAAAUCAGGGACUCCAAAUAUUGGAGUAUUAAGAGUAUUAAGUGUAUACUGCGUUAAAAAAUCGGUCUUAUGUUUGAUAAAGUAAAGACAAUUUUUCAUCGGCAAUGGGACGUCACUCACACAUUCUUAAACGAACGCGUCCGGGAACGCGUCUCGCGAUGUUUUGUCUGUUGGAGUAUGAAGUGUUUAUUGCGUUGAAAAACCGGUCUUAUGUCUAGACAACAAAGUCUAUUUUCUUUCGGCAUUGAUAGAAGCAGGCCGGGUCAACUCUCGAACAAAGUUUGGUUAUACCUACGGGGGCUAGACCUGUGGUGUCAUCAUCCAUACGGUUCUACCGUCUGGUAGUUGUAGCAAUAUUAUUAUCGUUAGUAGCUCACGCCUGACAUAAUAUUUUGAUAAAUCUAAUACAUUUUUAGAUUUAAAUAUGACUUUAAUAACUCAAUAAAUACUUUUCUUCUACAAAAAUAUAGAGAGACACUCUCGUUGAAUAUUGUUUUAGUAACGUAUGGGUAAGAUUUUCUAAACGAAGUGUGGCAACCCCAAUUACUUAAUAAAAAAUAAGACUUUGUUAGUUCAAGUGUCUCUAUAACUAUGAAGAAGAACAAAAGAAAAUGCUUUGAGUGUGGUUCUUCGCCUGCCGAUGAUACAGAGAAGACCCUACAGAGAUUACAGAAAUUUGAUUCUACAAAUUUAGUCUCCGUAAUGUCCAGAUAAUCAAUGAUUAGACUAUUGGACUUUUAGAAUAAAUUUUACAUUGAACUAUGAAUGGUUUGUCAUCUACAUUUUUAAAAAAGACGAGAUGUUUUGCCUGUAAGAACAAGAGAGAGAGAGAAUAAGAAGCAAUCCUGCUUCUUCACAUGAAUUUUACCCGCAUGACGACGGUUUUUAAUAUAAAAAAUAUUUACACAAUGUCUCAAAAAGCAAUCAAAGCUUUCAAAAAUGAACAAUGUUCGCAGAAGUUCAGUACCAACAAACUCACAAAAAAUGAGCCCAAAAUUUAGCAUUACUUGCAAGCCAGACUAAGAAAUUUCAAGAAGAUAAUUUAAAAGAAGACAAUAGAAUAAAAUAAUAUUAAAACACAAUGCUUAGCAAAUAUAGCAUUAACAGAUGGAAACCAGGCAAUAGGUAUGUUAAAAUAGGUUAUGUUUCAUAGAAGCUAUUUUAAUCCUACACAUCCAUCAUUUAUCAUUGUCUCCAUAUAGUAGAGGAGGUAUGGAGCUGAGACCCACCACACUGCUCCAAUGCUGUUGGUGGGCUUAGGGUGAUAAUGUUCAAUUAAUUAAUUACCACUAUCUGAUGCUAAUGUUAAUAAUCGGGAUUAAAGGUUUCCCAACUUCAGGAUGAGAAUUUAACUGAUUUUUUUUUACAUUUUUCAUAAUCUAUUCUUCACAUUUUUCACUUAAUAAAAUUCUUUUAGUUUUUGUUUGUUUUUAACUGGUGAAAAUAUGUGAAAUUUUGCUAUCGGCUUCCCAACUCCAAGAUGAGAAUUUGACUGAAUUUUUUUUUACAUUUUUAACCGAUUUUAAAAAAGAAGGAGGUUCUCAAUUCGAGUCUAUGUUUUUUUGUUCAUAAUCUAUUCUUCACAUUUUUCACUUAAUAAAAUUCUUUUAGUUUUUAUUUGUUUUUUAACUGGUGAAAAUACAUAAAAUUUAUUCUUUAUGUUUAAAUUUUCAGGUGUAGCAAAAUAGAAGAUGAAGGUCUAGCUGUGCCAGUCAGUGCUGAGCCACACAGUUGCUGCUGGCAUGUUUGCAAAAUAGCACAAGGUGUAGCAAAAUAGAAGAUGAAGGUCUAGCUGUGCCAGUCAGUGCUGAGCCACACAGUUGCUGCUGGCAUGUUUGCUAAAUAGCACAAGGUGUAGCAAAAUAGAAGAUGAAGGUCUAGCUGUGCCAGUCAGUGCUGAGCCACACAGUUGCUGCUGGCAUGUUUGCAAAAUAGCACAAGGUGUAGCAAAAUAGAAGAUGAAGGUCUAGCUGUGCCAGUCAGUGCUGAGUCACACAGUUGCUGCUGGCAUGUUUGCAAAAUAGCACAAGGUGUAGCAAAAUAGAAGAUGAAGGUCUAGCUGUGCCAGUCAGUGCUGAGCCACACAGUUGCUGCUGGCAUGUUUGCAAUAUAGCACAAGGUGCUGUAAAAUGAAGAUAUAUUGUUAAAUAUCAUGAGAUAGAAAUAAAAGAUGAAGGUCUAGCUGUACCCGUCCCGAGCCACACUACUGCAGCCACGUUGCUGCUGGCAUUUUUGCAAAAUAGCACAAGAUCACAACAAUUGAUGUAACAAAUAUAAUCAAUGGACCAGGCACCUGCACCAUGAUUCUUUGGAAUACUAAAAUUCGUCUCUUUAUAUCUGUACUUCUCAUAAUGAAAAAUGUCACGUUUUUAUGAAAGAAAUAAUGGAAUCAAAUAAUAAAUAAAACAAGCAUAUGCUGGAAGUCCUCAGAAACAGCUCCGACUUUGAUGAUUUUUUUUAAAGUCAUGUUUUUUAUGUUAUUUAAAAUCAGAAAUGUUUUGGUGGACGAAAUUAUUUAAAUUGUUAAAAAAUAUCCAUGCUAUUUAUACAUAUUUUUUUUUUAAAUACAACCGACUUCAAAAAUACAAACUUAUGCAGAAAACUAACAAACGAAAGAAAAUAUUAUAAUAUUUUCUAUCUAUUGAUCACUUUGAAGGCGGUGCCAAUGUUCCAAUUAAUGGGCCGACAAUUAGUUAUCUAUUGUUUACUAGCUAUAGGGCUCGAAUUGCUUUUUCAUAUCUUUAAAAGACUAUCUUCGGAAUGAACCCUUUAUAAUAAAAAAGUAUUAUCAAAGUCGGACCACUCAAUAAAAAGUUAUACUUGGUUGUAUACUAAAAUUAAUGGUUAAACAAUCAAUCAUCCCCUGUUUUCGUAAUGUAAAACCAAGAAUAACUGUUAACAUGGGUAGUCCGAUUUUGAUAAUUCUUUUGAUUGAUCAUUCUUGAUUGUUUUAGUUUAAAACCAAGCAUGUCUUCGAAUUCCGAUUUGAAUAACUUUGUUUUAAAUAGAAAGAGUAUAUUCCGACAAUGGUCCCAAAUCAUUAUAAAUUUUAAAAAAACGAAGAUGACUGGUUAUUUUCCCAUUAAUUGUAUUGUAAAACUAUGCGUAACUUAUUACGAAGUGGUCCGAUUUCGUAAAUUCUUUAUAGAUUGUAAAGGUAUUUUGAUUGUAAAGCUCCCAUAUAAAUUUUAAAAAACAAUUCCAAUCCUAAAUGUGCGAUUGAUUGUUUUCUCAUUCAUUUUAAUGUAAAACCAAGCAUAACUUUUUAUUGGGUGGUUCGAUUUUGAUUAUUCUUUUUUGAUAGAAAGGGUAUAUUCCUAAAAGUCUCAUAAAAUGUUGGAAAACAAUUUCAAACCUAAUAGUAGGAAAAUAGAAGAUGAUUAAUUGUUUUCCCAUUUAUUGUAAUGUUAAACUAUGCGUAACUUUUUACUGAGUGGACUGAUUUUGAAAAUUCUUUACUUUUUGUAAAGGGUUUAUUUCGAAGUAGGUCCCAUAUAAAUUUCGGAAAACAAUUCGAAUCCUUAAGGUGGAAAAAAACUGUACGAUUGAUUGCCUACCCAUUAAUUGUACAAUUGGCACCGGCUUCAAAGUAAUCAGUAGAUAGAAAGUAUUAUAAUGUUUUCUUCAGCUUAUUAGUUUACUGCAUAACUUUGUGUUUUUGAAGUCGGUAGUGUUUGUUUUUUAAUUAUUUAUUAUAUAAAUAGCAUAACUAUUGUUGAAUAGUAUAAAUCGUUCCAUCCUCACUCCAAAAUGGAUCUGAUGUCAAAUAAUAUGAAGAAACAAACUGAACAAAAAUAAUCAUCAAAAUCAGAGCUGUUUCUGAGGAAGUAGAGGGUAAAUGCUCUAUUGAUUCGCCUAAAAGUAAUAUUAUGAUUUUUUAUCGCAUUAGGUUGUAAAGUUCGGCUAGUGAAAGUAGAGACUGAAAUUGCCCGCCAAAUUUAAAAAUCAUAUAAACAAAGUAAAAAAACAUGCGUUUUCAUAAUUUACUUAAAUUAGUUUUUAUUUGUGAAUACAUUAUUACCUAUACUAUAAGUGUUAAACUCCGUUAUUCCAAUAUUUGCACUAUAAUUUUGAGAAUUUACUCCGAUUUUUUAAAAUUUGGCGGGUGAUUUCAGUUUCUACUUUCAUUAGCCAAAUUCUAAUAAUUUUAUUGUUUAUGAAAUUUAUACUAAUUAGAAAGAGGAAGAAUUUGAUUAUUUGUUUGUUUGCAUUGAAUAGGCUCUGAAACUACUUUGCUGAUUUAAAAAUUUCUUACAGCAUUAUAAUCAUGGAUUAGGCCAUAAUUGUUAUCUCUGUAUUCCCACGGGAACGAGAACUACGCUGGUGAAACUGCGUGACGUUUGCAUAGUUUAUCAUAUGUACAAAUAUCCCGACAAUCUAUAUUUUUAUGUAUGAAUUGGUUAAGUCAUAAUUGACUUGAUUUUCCCAAAUAUGUCAGUGAAGUCACCCAAUUGAUGCAUAGAUAUAUUUUUAUUUUGGUUUUCAUUUUACUUUAAAGAUAAAAUUUGGUUUUAGAAGCAAAAUAAAUAUAUGUAGAUUACAUUUUAGGUGCUGAUGUUUACUUAGUUAUUGAUUAAGUGCAUAAGAUUUUUUAUUUGAUAAUAAAGACAUUUCAAC